rnacentral:rRNA from 1 species
CAGCAGUCGCCACGGUAAAACGUAGGUGGCAAGCGUUGUCCGGAAUUAUUGGGCGUAAAGGGCUCGCAGGCGGUUUCUUAAGUCUGAUGUGAAAGCCCCCGGCUCAACCGGGGAGGGUCAUUGGAAACUGGGAAACUUGAGUGCAGAAGAGGAGAGUGGAAUUCCACGUGUAGCGGUGAAAUGCGUAGAGAUGUGGAGGAACACCAGUGGCGAAGGCGACUCUCUGGUCUGUAACUGACGCUGAGGAGCGAAAGCGUGGGGAGCGAACAGGAUUAGAUACCCCGGUAGUCCCUGUCUCUUAUAC